rnacentral:ncRNA from 1 species
GCGCAGGAAACUUGAGAGGAUCUGUCCCUAGUACGAGAGGACCGGGAUGGACAGACCUCUGGCGUACCAGUUGUUCCGCCAGGAGCAGCGCUGGGUACCCAUGUCUGGAGCGGAUAAGCGCUGAAAGCAUCUAAGUGCGAAACCCACCUCAAGAUAAGGUUUCCCACCCAUUUGAAGGGUGAGAUGUGAGAGGUAAGUUCUAAGUUCUCACACCUUUUACAUCUCACCUUUCGGUGGGGUAAGACCCCUGGUAGACUACCAGGUAGAUAGGCCAGGAGUGUAAGCCGGGCAACCGGUUGAGCGGACUGGUACUAAUAGGUCGAGGACUUGACCUU